CCAGUAUCUUGUCCUUAGUAAUUAUUUGCUUUUCCUGCAGUUCAGUUUCUCCUUGGAACUCUAACAGGACUAACUGGAAAAAUACUUUGACCAUAGCUCUAGUACUUCCAAAUAAAUUCAUAUCUAGAUUUUCAAACAAAGCCCCAAGAUGAAGUCUAAUUCUGAAAAUAUCUCACAAUUUUUGAAUGUUCUUUUUAUCUUACCGACCUAACUUCUCUUCUCCCUCCCAACUUGGCGUCCCACACCUUCCAUUUCAUUUUGGCAAUAAUUAUAAUCACAUCCAUUUGACUUUGGUUAUGACAUCUUCCUUUCAGGAUGAUGGAAUUAGAUAUGCAGCCUGUCUUUGAGUGAGACUGGUCACCAUCAAAGGAGUUUUUUCUAAGUGACGUGACUAGAAGUUGAAAUCUACUUCCCCGCUAAAGGGCACAGGGGUGGUGUACAAAGAAAGCUACCUUCCCAGAGCAAGCAGGCUGCAUUUUAGCUAUAGAAGUGACCUGCUGUGACACAGUGCUCUCUUCUGUGGGCUUAAUGGCUCCUUUGCUAUGAAGUGGCAAAUUACAUGUAGAGUGUCUCCUUCCUUUUCAGAGAACAGUUAAUCAAGGCAAAUCAGCAAGCCCCCAAAGUGCUGUAAUUUAACAUCAUGAUUACUACCUUCAAAGCUAUAUAUUUUGCAUGCUUUAAAAUCACCUAACUUGGACUGCUUGAAUUAUAUUGGCUUUUAGAACCGAAAUUGUAACUAUGUAUUAUAUUUCAUGGGAGAUAUAUUUUAUAAGCUUUUUGGCUUUCUUUUUUCCCACAGCAACUCUAAUGAAGGAUGAAUCCCCUUUUUAAAAAGUUUUUGUUGUUUAUUUGAUUUUGGGUUAGGAGGGAUAAUAGAGACGUCCAUUUAAAAAUUAUUUUUAGAAGCUAAAGAAAGUAAUAAUGCUUCCUGUGAAUUGUCCUUUACUGGCAUCUUUGUUUUCCUUGAUAUUAGUAAAUUUGGUGUAAUACGUGGGGCUUCCAUAUUUCAAAGUGGAAGCUUUCUUCUCUGAAGUCGAUACAUGGUUUUGAAAUACUAGAGCUUUGGUCAAUAUUUCCUUCCCUAUAUGUCACAGAGGACACCACUGAGAACUAUAUGCAUAGGACUUCAAAAUACAAAAUUAGCAGGACCUUACAGUCAGCUUCCUAAUGGCUAGUUUUUCCUCUUUAUAUUACAAUUUUUGUUUUAUAAAUCAUUUCUUUCCUGAUAUUUCCACCACUUUUCAGAGUCAUCUACAAAAUUUUUCUUUCCUCAAGAAAAGAGUUCCUUUUGCCUUAUUCCUUAUGCCUUCCCCACUGGUAUUGAGGGUUUUGAUAAUAAAUUGGUAGGAAAAAAAAGUACCUCCUAGAAGGAAGCCUUCCCCAUCAUUCCCAGGUGCCAACUGCUAAGCAGAUAUAUUCCAAAAAUGGUAACUGUAAUGUGCACACUGUUGGUUAUUUUUAAUAAGCUUCUUCCUACUAGAACAUUUUAUUUUCCUUGUUCACCAUACAAUCAUGUACUCUUUAACAGAAAUUGCUUUUAAAAGAUUCUGGAACUAUCUUUAAAAAAACUUUAUUAAUAAUCAUGUAUUUUUACUGAUCACAUUUUGAAAUGCCUAAAAGACUUUAUUGUUCUAAUUAUCCAGAUGUACCUUUGUAAAAUAGCUCUUUUAUGAAUUAGCUGAUAAGGCUGUAUGUUUCUGGAACAAAAUAUUGGUCAUCUAAAAACUUUCUGUUUUCUGGGGUCUGGGAAAAUAGAAAAUAAGAGUUCAAAUAUUAAAUAAGCUUAA
ensembl:lncRNA